UUUUGAAGUUGACCAAAAAGGAAGAAAGAGGCUGCACUUAAUUACUCAUCUUUUCUUAUCAGCCAGUCCAAUUGUCCAAAUUUGACGUUUUGCCCAACGCUCGUCUGUUUGGGCAGUCGUCUUUGUCAAUUGGGACCGGAACACACUAUUCGUAAUCACGUUAUCGUUAUCAGAUAACCGGGAACCGUUAUUUGGCGUCAUUGUGUGCCCAGCCUUCGACAAACUAGCGACGUAUCGACCGAUAGCCUCAGUGGUACUCACGUUGCUGGCUGGGGGGCUCGGCCGCGGGGGCGGCGGCGGCGGUUGGCGCCCCCUGCAUGGCCCGCGGUCGCCGGCGACGCCUGCGCAAGGCAUGGAACAAAGCGUACUCGGGGACCAUUCAUUCAUGGUUUUAAACGUGAAUUUUCAGUUCAAUAGUUAUAUGAAACCCUAAAACCUCAUCAGCGAGCCAGCCAUUGCGCAGUGCAUAUAAAAUAAUGCAAAUACCACGCGACCCGAGGAUUCGUUGCAUAUUGCUGCUAAUGUAUGCAUAUUAUGCAUCAUUGUGAUCAAUAUCCACAGUUCCACAUCACUGUAUUGUGUUGUGAUCUUGUCUGGAUGACAGAGGACUUUGCGAGAUUUUUUGACUCCAAAAUAAGGAAAGAGCGGUGAACGGAAAGGUCUUCUGAAUUCGUCUGAAGAGCUAUUGAAAAGGAUCGAUGAUCACGACUGUACUCAUGAAUUAGGUAUUGGCUGGCUGACGAAGAUAGAGGAUAGUGUUGUGACACUCUUUGAAGAGUUCUGCUAUUAAGUAAUUAUCUAGAAAUUACCUAAUAAAACUUUUUCAAGCCCUACUUACUUGUCCAUUGCCUCUUCUGUAUAAAUUAAAGACACACUACAACUACACAGCAAAAAUAAUUAUUUCCACAACAUUUCAGCCUCUACCCACCCUUUCAGUCGCCAGCGAUCCUCCCACAAAAAGUACUCAACUCCACUCAAAUUCGACAAACAAACUCUCCCUACCCCCUUCCUCCCAUGCGCUGUCCCGCUCGCUCCUACCACUCCAUACACUCCUGGUAGAUGAAAGCGGUUCCACGAGGCCUUUGUCCUCUUUCCUGUCAAAUCUCUUGGUACCAGGCGCUGAGCUGUUAAUACUGCCCCCUUGCUUUUAUACACCCCUGGUAGGUGUACUGAUGAAUUCGUUUGGAUUUAAAAGGUUUUUUACCGCCUGAUUGAAAUAUUUUGCUGUUAUAAGUUUGACGGGUGUGUCUAUGAAAGUUUCAGUACCAUAUUAAUUAUAGUA